rnacentral:rRNA from 1 species
CUACGGGACGCUCCAGUGAGGAAUAUUGCACAAUGGGGGGAACCCUGAUGCAGCAACGCCGCGUGGAGGAUGACGCAUUUCGGUGUGUAAACUCCUUUUAUAUGUCAAGAAAAUGACGGUAGCAUAUGAAUAAGCACCGGCUAACUCCGUGCCAGCAGCCGCGGGUAAUACGGAGGGUGCAAGCGUUACUCGGAAUCACUGGGCGUAAAGGACGCGUAGGCGGGUUGGAAAGUCAGGUGUGAAAUCCUACAGCUUAACUGUAGAACUGCACUUGAAACUUCUAAUCUAGAGUAUGGGAGGGGGAGAUGGAAUUAGUGGUGUAGGGGUAAAAUCCGUAGAUAUCACUAGGAAUACCUAAAGCGAAGGCGAUCUCCUGGAACAUUACUGACGCUAAGGCGUGAAAGCGUGGGGAGCAAACAGGGUUAGAUACCCGGGUAGUC